GUGGGGAAUAUUGGACAAUGGGGGGAACCCUGAUCCAGCCAUGCCGCGUGUGUGAAGAAGGCCUUUUGGUUGUAAAGCACUUUAAGCGAGGAGGAGGCUACCGAGAUUAAUACUCUUGGAUAGUGGACGUUACUCGCAGAAUAAGCACCGGCUAACUCUGUGCCAGCAGCCGCGGCAAUACAGAGGGUGCAAGCGUUAAUCGGAUUUACUGGGCGUAAAGCGCGCGUAGGUGGCCAAUUAAGUCAAAUGUGAAAUCCCCGAGCUUAACUUGGGAAUUGCAUUCGAUACUGGUUGGCUAGAGUAUGGGAGAGGAUGGUAGAAUGCCAGGUGUAGCGGUGAAAUGCGUAGAGAUCUGGAGGAAUACCGAUGGCGAAGGCAGCCAUCUGGCCUAAUACUGACACUGAGGUGCGAAAGCAUGGGGAGCAAACAGGAUUAGAAACCCGAGUAGUCC
rnacentral:rRNA from 1 species